GGCCUACCAUGGUGGUAACGGGUAACGGGGUGUUAGGGCACGACACCGGAGAGGGAGCCUGAGAAACGGCUACCACAUCCAAGGAAGGCAGCAGGCGCGCAAAUUACCCAAUCCCGACACGGGGAGGUAGUGACAAUAAAUAACAAUACAGGGUUCUUUUGGAUCUUGUAAUUGGAAUGAGUACAAUUUAAAUCUCUUAACGAGGAACAAUUGGAGGGCAAGUCUGGUGCCAGCAGCCGCGGUAAUUCCAGCUCCAAUAGCGUAUAUUAAAGUUGUUGCAGUUAAAAAGCUCGUAGUUGAAUUUCGGGAUCAAUAUUUCGGUCAUGCCGUUGGUAUGCACUGUUAUCAUUGAUUUCUCACCUUCUAAAGAACCGUAAUGCCAUUAAUUUGGUGUUACGGGGAAUUAGGACUGUUACCUUGAAAAAAUUAGAGUGUUUAAAGCAGGCUCACGCUUGAAUACAUUAGCAUGGAAUAAUGGAAUAGGACAUCCGAUUCUAUUUUGUUGGUUUCUAGGAUCGAUGUAAUGAUUAAUAGGGAUAGUUGGGGGCAUUAGUAUUCAAUUGUCAGAGGUGAAAUUCUUGGAUUUAUUGAAGACUAACUACUGCGAAAGCAUUUGCCAAGGAUGUUUUCAUUAAUCAAGAACGAAAGUUAGGGGAUCGAAGACGAUCAGAUACCGUCGUAGUCUUAACCAUAAACUAUGCCGACUAGGGAUCGGAUGAUGUUAAUUUUUUAAUGACUCAUUCGGCGCCUUACGGGAAACCAAAGUGUUUGGGUUC
rnacentral:rRNA from 1 species